GGAAUCUUCCACAAUGGGCGCAAGCCUGAUGGAGCAACACCGCGUGAGUGAAGAAGGGUUUCGGCUCGUAAAGCUCUGUUGUUAAAGAAGAACACGUAUGAGAGUAACUGUUCAUACGUUGACGGUAUUUAACCAGAAAGUCACGGCUAACUACGUGCUAG
rnacentral:rRNA from 1 species